GACGAACGCUGGCGGCGUGCUUAACACAUGCAAGUCGAACGGUGAAACGCCUUCCUUUUUGGUGGGUGUGGAUGAGUGGCGAACGGGUGAGUAACACGUGAGUAACCUGCCCCCUUCUUCUGGAUAACCGCAUGAAAGUGUGGCUAAUACGGGAUAUUCUGGGUCUGUCGCAUGAUGGGUCUGGGAAAGAUAUUGUUUCGGUGGGGGAUGGGCUCGCGGCCUAUCAGCUUGUUGGUGGGGUGAUGGCCUACCAAGGCGGUGACGGGUAGCCGGCCUGAGAGGGUGGACGGUCACACUGGGACUGAGACACGGCCCAGACUCCUACGGGAGGCAGCAGUGGGGAAUAUUGCACAAUGGGCGCAAGCCUGAUGCAGCGACGCCGCGUGAGAGAUGGAGGCCUUCGGGUUGUGAACCUCUUUCGCCAGUGAAGCAGGCCUGCCUCGUUUGUGGGUGGGUUGACGGUAGCUGGAUAAGAAGCGCCGGCUAACUACGUG
rnacentral:rRNA from 1 species